UACAGAGGGUGCAAGCGUUGUUCGGAAUUAUUGGGCGUAAAGGGUGCGUAGGCGGCUUCUUAAGUCUGGUGUGAAAUCUCCCGCUCAACUGGGAGGGUGGCGCCGGAUACUGAGGGGCUAGAGUGUGGGAGAGGAAAGUGGAAUUCCUGGUGUAGCGGUGAAAUGCGUAGAUAUCAGGAGGAACACCGGUGGUGUAAACGGCUUUCUGGACCAUAACUGACGCUGAGGCACGAAAGCGUGGGUAGCAAACAGG
rnacentral:rRNA from 1 species